rnacentral:rRNA from 1 species
UACGUAGGGGGCAAGCGUUGUCCGGAUUUAUUGGGCGUAAAGAGCGUGUAGGCGGCUAUACAGGUCCGCUGUGAAAACUCGAGGCUCAACCUCGAGACGUCGGUGGAAACCGUAUGGCUAGAGUCCGGAAGAGGAGAGUGGAAUUCCUGGUGUAGCGGUGAAAUGCGUAGAUAUCCGGAGGAACACCGGUGGCGAAGGCGGCUUCCUGGACCGACACUGACGCUGAGGCGCGAAAGCUAGGGGAGCAAACGGG